GGGCACGCACCCGGCGUUGGCGCGCACUCGCCCCUCCCCUCGUCCCCACCCUCCUCCAGGAGAACAGAGAAAAGAAGAUGACCAUCUUCUCCUGAACAAAAUUAUGAACUAUCAAAGGUUUCAAAGGUAAUAAGUUUUAUGUCGCAAGAAGAAGAACCAGAAGUAAUGCUGAGCUAGAACUUAUUAGAGAUUUCCUUGAAAUCUGGACUUGGUGUUUAUAAGAUGGCUCUGUCCCAGGUUUAUGCAUGACAGCUGGUGAGCAGUUAGUUGCAUUCAGAGGACAUUGCUCAUUUUGGGCCUCUCUGCAUUCAAAACCAGGAAAAUAUGCUGUGAAAAUUUGAUAUUACUGAUGUCUCUAAUAAACUUUUAAAAAAUGA